rnacentral:rRNA from 1 species
CACGUAGGGUGCGAGCGUUGUCCGGAAUUAUUGGGCGUAAAGAGCUCGUAGGCGGUGUGUCGCGUCGGCCGUGAAAAUCUGCAGCUUAACUGUGGGCUUGCGGUCGAUACGGGCAUCACUGGAGUUCGGCAGGGGAGACUGGAAUUCCUGGUGUAGCGGUGAAAUGCGCAGACUAUCAGGAGGGAACACCGGUGGCGAAGGCGGGUCUCUGGGCCGAUACUGACGCUGGAGGAGCGAAAGCGUCGGGGAGCGAACAGG